AUGAACGCUAGCGGCAGGCUUAAUACAUGCAAGUUGAGGGGCAGCAUGAUAUACGCGAGUAUAUUGAUGGCGACCGGCGGACGGGUGAGUAAUAGGUAGGAGACCUACCUCAUACAGGGGGAUAGCAUAGAGAAAUCUGUGGUAAUACCCCAUGAGGUUAUAUGAAUAGAGGCAUAUAAUCAAAGCAUAAGCGAUUAUGCGGUAUGAGAGGGGCCUACUGACCAUUAGCUAGUUGGUGAGGUGAGGGCUCACCAAGGCGAAGAUGGUUAGGGGUUUUGAGAGAGAGACCCCCCACAUUGGAACUGAGAGACGGUCCAGACUCCUACGGGAGGCAGCAGUAGGGAAUAUUGGGCAAUGGGCGAAAGCCUGACCCAGCCAUGCCGCGUGAAGGAAGACGGCCUUAUGGGUUGUAAACUUCUUUACUACGCGAAUAGAGGUUAGUACGAGAUACUAAUAGGAAGGUAGUGUAGUAAAAAGCACCGGCUAACUCCGUG
rnacentral:rRNA from 1 species